rnacentral:rRNA from 1 species
UACGUAGGUGACAAGCGUUGUCCGGAUUUACUGGGCGUAAAGAGCGCGCAGGCGGUCGUUCAAGUCGAGUGUGAAAGCCCCCGGCUCAACUGGGGAGGGUCACUCGAUACUGAUCGACUUGAAGGCAGGAGAGGGAAGCGGAAUUCCCGGUGUAGAGGCGAAAUUCGUAGAUAUCGGGAGGAACACCAGUGGCGAAGGCGGCGACCUGGACGGACACUGACGCUGAGACGCGAAAGCGUGGGGAGCAAACAGG